GGUGGCUCAGUGGUAGGGCGCUUGCCUUGCAUACAUGAGGCCCUGAGUUCAAUUCCUCAGCACCA
rnacentral:tRNA from 1 species